GCACAACAGGGAUUAAUUCUUAUGAGGAUGAAAUGGAUGUGGGAUAUGAACAAUGGAGAAACUAACAAGAAGCGACUAUGCCACACAAGAUAAAAUAAUAAAUACAGAUUUGUUUGGGAAAACUAUGUAUAAAGAAAAGAAAAAUCAUAUUCUGUGCAUGAAUUUAGAACCCUAGUCAGGUGUUGGAGACUUCCUCCUAUUGGCUACUGAGUAUGGCCAAACCUGGUCAUUCCAUUAAAUCCUAUCUUAUUAGUCCAUCAAGAAAAAGGAAAGAAUAAUUGUACUGCAAUACCCUGAGUGGUACAUUUCUCUUUCUAGUCUUGUCUGUGUGUUUGGAUAAAGAUGUCACCCUGAGUCCUGACUAUUAGUCAAUCAGGACAACUUGAAACAAAAAGAACCUUCACUCUUGUCUUACAAAGGCGUAAAAGCAACAUCAUAUAUUUUUGUGAUACUAACAAAGAAGGUGAUUUCCUGAACAGAUAUGAAGCUCUGUAGCUGUCUAGAAAUAGCUUAGUAAAAAAAUAUUCAUGCUAAAUUUCGUUGCUCAUGUGCCCUUCAUCCCCACAUUCAUUUGACCACACCCAAUUUAUCUCUCUUAGAAUCGGGCAUCUUUCAGAAUGCGCAACAAAGAAUGGUGAAUUGGGACAAUGAACUACAUAAACAUGAAUUGUCACCCUUGUCACCUAACACUGUGUGGAGUUACUUAACCAUAGUAAAACCCUUUAGUAUUCUUGUCUUUAAAUGAGAGUAUCCAUAAGUCCUGGCUGAGCACGUGGCAAAUAGACCUUGAAAAGAAAUGACAGGCAGAGUUUCUUUGUCACUGAUGAGCUGUCAAGAGUCCCUGCUUGCUUUGGUGCAUUAGCCUGUUGAAGCAUAGCAAGGAAAUGCCUCAGGCUUGCCUCUUGAUGUAUUUCCCUGAUAGGGUGGCCUACCUGAGUUUAAUGAAUUAUACCCAAAGAAGCCAGCAUCACUGUGAGCAAACUUAAACCAUUGUCCUUAUCAAGACUGGUAGGAAAAAAGUACUAUAA
rnacentral:lncRNA from 1 species